AUGCCGGCAGGCUUACACAUGCAAGUCGAGCGGUAACAGGGGGUGCUUGCACCCCGCUGACGAGCGGCGGACGGGUGAGUAAUGCAUAGGAAACUGCCCAGUAGUGGGGGAUAGCCCGGGGAAACCCGGAUUAAUACCGCGUACGCCCUUCGGGGGAAAGCAGGGGAUCUUCGGACCUUGCGCUAUUGGAUGUGCCUAUGUCGGAUUAGCUAGUUGGUGGGGUAAAGGCCUACCAAGGCGACGAUCCGUAGCUGGUCUGAGAGGAUGAUCAGCCACAUCGGGACUGAGACACGGCCCGAACUCCUACGGGAGGCAGCAGUGGGGAAUAUUGGACAAUGGGGGCAACCCUGAUCCAGCCAUGCCGCGUGUGUGAAGAAGGCUUUCGGGUUGUAAAGCACUUUCAGUGAGGAGGAAAACUCUGCGACUAAUACUCGUAGGGCUUGACGUUACUCACAGAAGAAGCACCGGCUAACUCCGUGCCAGCAGCCGCGGUAAUACGGAGGGUGCAAGCGUUAAUCGGAAUUACUGGGCGUAAAGCGCGCGUAGGUGGUUUGAUAAGCGAGAUGUGAAAGCCCCGGGCUUAACCUGGGAACGGCAUUUCGAACUG
rnacentral:rRNA from 1 species